CUCUUCUCGUGGCGGCUUUACUGGAGCUGUGUUGGUGAAUGCUUCUAAGCUCAGUCCUCCCAACAACGCCCCCUCCCAGGAAUGUGUCUGUUGGUGGUCACUGAGAACACAAAUAAUUCAUCAGGCAAAAUGGAAAAACCACGAUUUAACGAGAGGGAGGAACUAAAGAAAAUCUGUAAUUUUCGUGAAAUGGUGUUGGAGAAGUUGAUGGGAAGCCGAUAAAUCCCUCGCCCCUGACAAUCUACAUCCCAGAGUACUUACAGAAACGGUCAUACAAAUGGUGGAUGCAUUGUUGAUUAUCUUUCACGAUUUCUUACACGCAUGUGCACGGAUAAUGUAAUGUAACCUCAAUAUUUAAAAGGGAAGGUAGAGAUAAAACACAGAAUUAUAGACUGGGAGUUUGACAUAAGUAGUGGGGAAGAAGAUCGAUUCCAUUAUCAAGGAUUUUGCAGUAGAGCACGUAGAAUACAAUAGCAGAAUUAGACACAGACACCACAGAUUUACAAAAGAGAAAUCAUCCAUGACUGAUCAUCUGGGUAUCUUUUUGGGCUCUAUCCCCAACCUAUCGCUUACUCCUUAACCGCUGCCCCCAUCUUCCGCAUAAAAAAUAACUUUUUCCUAGCUGCCAUCAGUUCUCCGGAAGGGUCACUCGACCCGAAACGUUAACUCAGAUUUUUUUUCUUCACAGAUGCGGCCAGACCUGCUGAGCUCUUCCAGCAACUUUUGUUUUUGUUUCUGAUUUACAGCAUCCGCAGUUCUGUCGCUUUGUGCUGGGGCACAGCUGAUUGACGGCAGUUCCGGACCAUUUAGAGGAGAAAGGGCGUGCCCAGAGGGCGAAAGUGAAAGUGGCUGGUCCUUCAACCAAUUGGAGUGAAGGAGACAAAAAAAGAAGUUGCUGGAAAAGCUCAAGAGGUCUGGCAGCAUCAGUGAAGAGAAAAUCACAGUUAGCGUUUCAGGUCCGUUGACCCUUCCUCAGAACCGGGGACGGGGCCAGUGGAACGACACGAGACCACCAACUCGGCAGGCGCAGUGCAGCUGUGAGUGGCGCCUGAUUGAGUGUCGAAGGAAGGAGACGGGAAAGGAGAAAUUAAUGACGAAGACCGGAAAAAUAGAGUCAGUUUCAUAAAUACCAGGUGUAGGCCCCUAAACCCGAAUUAGAAACUCCCGGACCCGUGUUGCAGAAAACGGGAAAAUGGCUGUGGGCUUCAGGCGUUACAGGCCCCUUGUUACCGCCGCCAUCUUUAUUCGGGGCACGGGCAGCAGGACGCAUGCUUCUUCCUCGUCAAUAAACAUAGGGCUGGACAAAGGCAGCAGGUCGAGCAGCAUCAGAGAAGCAGGAAAGUCCCGUUUGACAUUUGUCUGUGGAAGGAAAAAACGUUUGUCGGUUCUGUCUGUGGGGAAGUAUCUCCGAUAUGGUUGUAAUUUCAAAAUCAGCAAGACGCUCAAUUUCACGAUUAUUACCGCCCCUGGGAUAUGUGUUCAGUUCUGGGCCCAGCAGCUGAGGAAGGAGAUUUUGGCCUGAGAGAGGGCACGUCUAUUUGAAUGAACUGUCAUAUGUGGCCCCAGUCGCACACUUCAUGAUUUUAAUUUAUAAAUUCCUCAUUCUCAGAUACUGCAAACUCCCUUUUAAAAUUCCUUAUGGACAUGCGUUCCCGCAUGACUUCAGGUGGAACAUUGCAGAUCCUGACAUCUCUUCAUUGAUCUAGAAACUACUGGCGUCCGUGUUGAGUCCGCAGCAUCAUAACGUGCUGAAUUGAAAGAUGAGACACUGUACCCUCAGUUCCCAUUGAGCAUCAUUAGAACAGUUCAGGAGGCUGAAGUCAGUGUAGGUGUAAGCAGACAGUUUAAAUGACAAAGCUGCAUUGUGAGUGCUGCUUGGCUCAAUGGGAGUGUUUUGAAGUUGGGCAAAAACAGUGAGUUAGGUGAGACAAGGAGAAAGGUGAAGCUGAAAGACUGAAUGUAGUGCUCAGUUUCAAUCCAGUAAUUCAGAAAGUGAUACGGUUCCAAUGGAAACAGCCAAGAGAUAAAUAAUACUGUAGAGUAUUUUCUUACAGUUUUUUUAAAGUACAUAAAUCAGCUUAAAUAAAGGGAGGGACUUCUGAUUAUAAAAGAAAUGUUUGAAACGAAGACAGCUUAAUAAAAUUCCCUUAAAGGGAGUAAUUGGCUUAAUCUAGAGAAAACAUAACAGGAGACCCAUGGUGUGCUACUCUUGCGCAAUGUGGGAAAUAAGGAAUUCUCCAGUGUCCUUGACAGCUACAUGGGCAGGAAAUAUAUCCAUCUGCAACUACUGGCUAACUGACUUUUCAGAGCUGGAGCUGUGGGUGGAUUCAUUGUGUAGCACCUACGAUGAUGAGCAUGUUGUGGACAGCAUGUUUAUCACAGUGGUGACACUGCAUGUGAGGAUUACACAGGUUGAAAUGGAAUGGGCAACCAAAGUAAAAGGCUGAGGAAGAAAGUGCAGGAGUUCUCAGUCAUCAUGCCCCUCUCAAACAGAUAUACCACUUUGGACACUGUCAGGGGAGGAGUGGCCUCUUGGGGAAAGCAGCAUCAGCCAAGCUACUUCGGGUAGGUCUGCUGCACAUAAUGUGAGGAAAACGAGCAGUAGGGUUAUAGUGAUAGACGAUUCGAUAGUAAUGGGGAUAGAACCAAAAGUGCAGGCUUAGAUUGGUCAGAUUCGGAUCAGGAAACGGGGGAGUAGAACCUUAGAUAGUGAUGCAACCAGUAGCUCAGGAAGAUAAAAGAAAUUAAGAUUAAAUGAGGAUUGAGUCUUUCCUCAUACAUCAGCCCUGAAUCCCAGGAAUCAUUCUGGUGAACCUUCUUUUCACUCUCUUAAUGGCAGGGCAUCUUUCUGGGGAAAGGAGAACAAAAGUGCUCGCAGUAUUACAGGUGUGGUCUCACAAUGCCCAUACAGAAAGAUAUCCCUUUUCCUGUACUUAAAUCCUGUCACUGUGAAGGCUAACUUAUCAUUUGCAUUCUUCACUGCAUGAACGCCUGCCUGCCUACAAAAAGAGAGUCAAGGAGAAAUAGGAAACAAAAUGGAGUCAGACAUUCUGAUAUAAAAUUGUUGAACACAGUGUCCCCUAUUGGAUCCGCGCUGGUCAUUAAGCAUCUUGUCCAGCACUGAGAGUAUAACUUAUAUUGUGCUUUGUAGGCUCGUCUAAACACUUCUUCAAGGUUACAAUGGUUUUUGCGUCUGAUACAAUUUCAAAUGCUGCUUAUUUUGCACUUCUGGCAUUUCCUGUUUUUACUUUAGAUUUUCAGUGUUUUGCUUCUGUACUUGUUCUUAAUCCUUUGGAGGGUUUGAAGGGUAUAUGGAAAAAACAGGAACAGGACUGAAUUGCAGAUCGAUAAAAUGCCUCUUCUUCAAGUCUGCCUCUCCAAUUUCUUAUCUCUUUCAGCAGUUUUGUGCAAACGCUGACUAGCUUACUUACCUGAAGAACAUAUAUGCGCGAUGCCAAUUUUAAUGAUAAUCCAGCAGAUUCCCCAAGUCGGCUCCACAAAUGACCAGACUCAUUUCUCUCAUUUUCAUAAUCUGUGUAUUCUUCUGGUUUCUCAAUCAUUACUUUUGUUUUCUGUAUGAAAGAUUAGUUUACAAUUAGAGAAUUCAGAUGAAACUACAUCCAGUUCUCACAGUCACUUUGCUUAUCAUAACCAAAUUUUGUCAGGAUUUUGAUCAUUGAAGGAAAAAAGCAUUAUUCACACUGGGGGGGAGCAGACGUGAUCUGUGCAUAGAAGAGUCUGUGAAGAUUCAUCUGGAAUGACCAAAUAUUAGUACAGUGACAUUGGGAAAAGACUGUGGAAAUGUGGAGAUUGCAGGAUGGGAUUUCUUUACCCACCCCAGCUGGAAAUGCACCAAUGCAGUCACACUGAGGAGAGACUGUGGAUAUAUGGGGAUUACAGGAAAGGAUGUUGUUACCCAUCCCAACUGGAAAUUCAUCAAUGCAUUCACACUGAGGAUAAUCCAUUCACCUACUCAGCCUGUGGGAAGAAAUUCACUGUGUCAUACAGCCUGUUGACGCAUCGAUAAGUUCACACUGGGGAGAGACCAUUCAUUUGCUCCACUUCUGGAAAAAGACAUUCACUUCAUUACCGAACCUACUCAAAUACCAGUGACUCCACACAAGGGAGCGAUCAUUCACCUGUUGCGAAUGUGGGAAAGGAUUCACUCACACAUCUAAUUUGCUGGAUCACCAGUGAGUUCUUACCAGAGAGAAACUGAUCAAUUGAUCUGAUUGUGGGAAACUAUUCACUCGGUCAACUCGUAUGAACUUGCCAGGGAGUUCACUCUGGGGAGAGACUAUUCACUUGCUCUGUGUGUUGGAAAAGAUUCACACUGUCAUCCUAAGCAUUACCACAUCAUCAAGUUGUCACUGGGUGCAUGCUAUUCUCCUGCUGUGUUUGUGGCAGUCUUUGCUGUUUGUUAAUACACCAGCUCUUCACAAAAAUACACAGUUGAAAUGUAGUCCUCUUAUUCACACCAACGAAUGAAUAAUAUCCAUUGGGCUGUUUGUACAUAUGUUAAAAUUAAACCCUGUUCUAGUAGAGAUGCCGAUAUUGUACAUAAAAUGUUCAUGUAAUUGUGUAACAGUAGAGUGGGUUUGGAAAGAACCACAAAUUCGCUGUACAUCAAUUUAUUCACACUGAAUAGAGACUGUUCACCUGCAUGUUGUUUGUAAGGGAAUUUCCUAGUCCAUCAGGCCUGGUUAAAAAAACUGUAAGGGUUGGAUUUUUAUGCUAUUAUCGAUAUCCAAAGCAUGUCUUCUGGGCCUGAUUCUGGUGAUAUUUGUAUACACCACAAUUCCAAUUAUCUAUUUGGGAUAAAAAUAAUAUAAAUCAGAUUUUUUAAAAUUUAAA